rnacentral:rRNA from 1 species
UACGUAGGGUGCAAGCGUUGCCCGGAUUUAUUGGGCGUAAAGGGCGCGUAGGCGGUGUGUCGCGUCGGCCGUGAAAACCUGCAGCUUAACUGUGGGCGUGCGGUCGAUACGGGCAUCACUGGAGUUCGGCAGGGGAGACUGGAAUUCCUGGUGUAGCGGUGAAAUGCGCAGAUAUCAGGAGGAACACCGGUGGCGAAGGCGGGUCUCUGGGCCGAUACUGACGCUGAGGAGCGAAAGCGUGGGGAGCGAACAGG